GCCUUCAUGGUGUAGUGGUCAACAAGCUCGGUGCGUAACCGAGAAGUUCGUGGUUCGAUUCCCGGCGAAGGCG
rnacentral:tRNA from 1 species